GCCAACUUGGUUUCGGCCAAACCUGGCCUGUUCCUCAUUGCUAUUCAAGGAACUUGAUUGACCGCUUCCAUAUUAUCAAUAAGGCGGAGGCAGAGGCUAUAAAUGCUCGUAAUCUUCUUUUGACGAGCCAUUUUUCAUUAGCCCCUUUCAAUUCUAGCCAUGCCAUCCAUCCCCUUUUUGAACAGUUCUGGCCGUCAGUGAAGCGCACAUUGUUUGCGACUGAUGCCAAUCGUGCCUUUCAUUCACUGGACCAGUCGAGCAUUUCUUCUGCUCCUCCUGUUUUAGUCACUCCUUUGUCCAUCCAGAGUCCUUCUCCUCCUCGUCGCGCUAAACAGUUUGCUCGUCCAUUUUCUUCUCUCCCUGCCAAGCCUACUGUAGCAAAAAGUGUCUCAUGCAGCAAACGGCCAGCCUCAGCAUCUCCCAUUCUGGAGGAUGAUGUUGAUGAUGAUGAUGAUACCCCCCCUCUUAAGGAAGGUAAUUAAAUUGGUUUACUCACAAGCAUACUUUUCCAUAUUUGAAACUUUUCUGUGUGCUGAUGAUUUAUUUGGACUUCUUAGAAAAGUUCAGCCUCUCCUUUAAAGGCUUUGGUAUCGGCAGCUCUUGCUCCAUCAACUUCCGCUGAGGCUACUUCAUUCAAACCAGCUGAUGAAGGGACUACGCUUAAAGAGACAUCUUCAGUCCCAGAAUUCUCAUCACAACCAAUGGAUGAGCCACCUUCUUCCCAGGGCGUCAAUCCCCCAAAUAUCGAAGCAGAAGGUAAUUCAGUUUUUUGAUGCUUUACCUUUGCUUGUGCUAUUGGUUUCUGAUUUGUUGCUUUUGAGUUUUGCAGAUGCUCCUAUGAGUCUGCCCGUUGUGGCAACAUAUUCUCGCUCAGACAAGGGGAAGUCCUCACGAAUGGUGGAGUCACAGGUGGCAGACUUGGCCGAGGAUAUGCCAUCUUCCACGAUUAUUGAUGAGGUAAUCUUUGCUUCACUUCUAUUUCCAUCUUGUUCGUUGUAGUGAGAAUCUUCAAUAUUGGCAAUUUUUUUUGCAGGAUGCUGACAAGAUUGUGCGUUCCAUCCAAGACUUGUUCGCUUCCUGAGGGCAAGUCAAGACAUCUCGCCCUGCUCCAUCUGGUCGUCCUGCUACUUCUUCAGAGGAAGAUUUGAAGUUCCUCAAGCAGUUGAUAUUUGAGUACGUGUCUUUCAUGGAUAUGGACAUUGGUAAGGCUAGUGCUGCCAAACACAAGGAUAAGUUUGAGCAUUUGAAUGCGAAGUUGGAGCAAGCACUGACACUUCUGUCGCUCAAUCUUUUUGCCGAUAUUAAAGCGACGUUGAAAGUUAUCCAUUCCGAGGUCCUCUCCUUGCAGGCCAAGAAUGCUGAAUUGAAGGCCAAAAGUAUUCAAUAUCUUCGUGCUGUAUCUGAAAAAGAGUCUUUGCGUCUGGAGAUCAACAAGGCUGAGGACGAGUUGAAAGAAAUCUCUUCCGAAGUCAUGAUUGAAGACUCUUUGAUAGUUAGUUUGGCUGCUCAGAUGAAGGAACUUCAAGCCAAAAUGGACGACUGCAAGGCGAGAAUGGCUGCUAAAAAGCGUAACGCCUCCCAGGAAAUUGAGCGAACUAAGUCUUUGGUCGAGCAGUACAAAAAGUUGGAGGUUGAUGAUGAUGUCGUGGCCAAAUUGAACAUCACUUCCUCUCGACAGAACGAGGAUUGGGAAAAGCUUAGGGAACGAAUUCGUUCAGUGUGGGGUGGACUGUAAUUAAGACAUAUGACCCCUUAACUUUUCUUUUUGUAAUUUCGCGUUUGACUUUCCCUUUGUAACCUUGUUCAUCAUUAAUGAACAUAUAUAUUAACUUGUUGUGCA
rnacentral:lncRNA from 1 species